rnacentral:misc_RNA from 1 species
AUUAGAAGGUUUUAAGUCCCUGUGGAUAAUAUGUUUUUCAUGAUGAAGAUACAAUAAACCCCUGAGCACCUGCUUACAGAUCGCAGCAAGGUAUGGUUCUGGAAUUGUUUUAACUUUUUUUAGAAGAUCUGCAAAAGAUCCACCAUCCAUAUACUCCAAGAUAAUUGAAAUGGCACCAUUGUCAUAAAAAGACUGGUAACACAUAACAACAUAAGGACAUUGCGAUGAUUGAUUAAUUUUUAGUUCCUUGGCAAUUGCUUUCCUCGCAUUCUCCUCAAUAUUCAUCUGUAUAACCUUCAAUGCAAAGAACUGGCCUGUCCAUUUAUGUUGCACCAGCUGCACAAUUCCACUGCUUCCCUUCCCAAUGACCUUAACGGUGUCUAUGUCUGCCAAAUUCAACUGGU